UGGGGAAUAUUGGACAAUGGGGGGAACCCUGAUCCAGCCAUGCCGCGUGUGUGAAGAAGGCCUUUUGGUUGUAAAGCACUUUAAGCGAGGAGGAGGCUCCCAGUAUUAAUACUACUGGAGAGUGGACGUUACUCGCAGAAUAAGCACCGGCUAACUCUGUGCCAGCAGCCGCGGUAAUACAGAGGGUGCAAGCGUUAAUCGGAUUUACUGGGCGUAAAGCGUGCGUAGGUGGCCAAUUAAGUCAAAUGUGAAAUCCCCGAGCUUAACUUGGGAAUUGCAUUCGAUACUGGUUGGCUAGAGUAUGGGAGAGGAUGGUAGAAUUCCAGGUGUAGCGGUGAAAUGCGUAGAGAUCUGGAGGAAUACCGAUGGCGAAGGCAGCCAUCUGGCCUAAUACUGACAC
rnacentral:rRNA from 1 species